rnacentral:rRNA from 1 species
UGGUUUGAUUCUGGCUCAGGAUGAACGCUGGCGGCAUGCCUAAUACAUGCAAGUCGAACGGAGUGAAGCCUUCGGGUUUCAUUCAGUGGCGAACGGGUGAGUAAUACGCAGGGAACCUGGCCAUGGCAGGGGGAUACACUCUGGAAACGGAGCAUAAGACCCCAUAGGCAGUAAGGCGGCAUCGCCUUACUGUUAAAGAAAGCUGAAAGGCUUUGGCGAUGGAUGGACCUGCGGUGCAUUAGCUUGUUGGUGAGGCAACGGCUUACCAAGGCGAUGAUGCAUAGCCGGCCUGAGAGGGCGGACGGCCACACUGGGACUGAGACACGGCCCAGACUCCUGCGGGAGGCAGCAGUAGGGAAUUUUCGUCAAUGGGCGCAAGCCUGAACGAGCAAUGCCGCGUGAGUGAGGAAGGUCUUCGGACUGUAAAGCUCUGUUGCCGGGGAAAAAGGGGAAAUGCAGGAAAUGGCAUUUCAUGGAUGGUACCCGGCCAGAAAGCCACGGCUAACUACGUGCCAGCAGCCGCGGUAAUACGUAGGUGGCGAGCGUUAUCCGGAAUGAUUGGGCGUAAAGGGUGCGCAGGCGGUCUGUUAAGUCUGAAGGCAAAGGGAUGAGCUCAACUCAUUUAUGAUUCAGAAACUGGCAGACUUGAGGACAGGAGAGGGCGGUGGAACUCCAUGUGUAGCGGUAAAAUGCGCAGAGAUAUGGAAGAACACCAGUGGCGAAGGCGGCCGCCUGGCCUGUGACUGACGCUGAGGCACGAAAGCGUGGGGAGCAAAUAGGAUUAGAUACCCUAGUAGUCCACGCCGUAAACGAUGAGGAGCAGGUGUUGGGAGUGAAAUCUCAGUGCCGAAGCCAACGCAGUGACUCCUCCGCCUGGGGAGUAUGCACGCAAGUGUGAAACUCAGAGGAAUUGACGGGGGCCCGCACAAGCGGUGGAGUAUGUGGUUUAAUUCGAAGCAACGCGAAGAACCUUACCAGGUUUUGACAUCGGAUGCGAAGGUGCAGAGAUGCGCUGGAGGUUAACAUCCAGACAGGUGGUGCAUGGUUGUCGUCAGCUCGUGUCGUGAGAUGUUCAGUUAAGUCUGGCAACGAGCGCAACCCCCGUGGUAUGUUACUAACGCUUAGGGCGAGGACUCAUAUCAGACUGCCGGUGACAAACCGGAGGAAGGCGGGGAUGACGUCAAAUCAUCAUGCCCCUUAUGACCUGGGCUACACACGUACUACAAUGGCGUCUACAGAGGGAAGCGACCCUGAGAAGGGAAGCGAAACCGGAAAAGGGCGUCCCAGUUCGGAUUGAAGUCUGCAACCCGACUUCAUGAAGAUGGAAUCGCUAGUAAUCGCGGAUCAGCAUGCCGCGGUGAAUACGUUCCCGGGCCUUGUACACACCGCCCGUCAAACCAUGGAAGCCGGCAACGCCCGAAGCCGGUGGCAUAACCUUUUAGGAGUGAGCCGUCGGAGGCGGGGCCGAUGACUGGGGUUAAGUCGUAACAAGGUAUCC